rnacentral:lncRNA from 10 species
GGGUAGAACAGGUAGGUCUCUGUUCUUGGCUGGAACCUAGAAACUAGAAAAGACAGUUUCUUCAGAUAAAUAGCUACGAAGAGAAUCCAACUAUAAUUUACUGAACUCAGAGAAGUGGAUGGGAGAAUACAGAGCAUAAGUUAACACAGAAAUGCAGUCUCAACGUGCAAAUGCUUGGUGAGCUGCAUCUGGGAAUAAAGCUGGCAGAACCUGCUUCCUCAUGGGCAGGAGAGCUAAGAGGGGAGGACUAAUGUGUCAAGAGAACAGGUCAAUCACCUGUAAGGCUUUGAAUGAAGAAGAGAAAGGCUAGUCUGUGGGAAAGCAAUCACUAUACUUAGAUGAGCAUAUUAGAUACAAAAACAAUCUGAGUUCCUGUAAAAAAGUCCCUCUGUAUAAGCUACACAAGAAGCUCAUUGCAGAGAAAUAGUAACUAUAAUUCACUUUUUUGAGGUGCUUGCCAUAUACCACCAUAUGGCAUUCUUUUAAGUUUUAUGUGUUUGGCAUCACUUAAUCCUCUCAGCAACCUGACAAAGUAGGUAAUAUUUUCAUCCUCAUUUUAGAAAUGAGAAGACCGAGGUCCAGAAAGGCUAAGAAACCUGUCGAGGGUUAUGACCUAGCUAGUAAGUCGUGGAAUCAGGCUUCUAAACCAGGUAGUCUAUAAGGAGAGAUGAUGCUCUUAAUCAGUAAACUUUAAGGCCUCCUUAAAUGGCUGGCUAAGUGGCACUCUGUGAAAUGGCCCGCUAAGUUAAAAAACUAGGAGAGGAAACCCAGAGACAGAGUCCCAAAGCUGUAAUAGUUGGAAGAGAAAACUCCAACACCUUGAAGUGCUGGCGGAAGUUUACCAGUGACAGAACUAUGUCUGAGGCUUCACUGACUUGAAUCCACCCAGAAGAUGGAAGAACAUCAAAAUGGGCCAUCAGGGAAUUACUUAGAGGUUCUCCUAGAGCAGAGUUGCCAGCUAAAAGGGUGUCCCAUUAACUACUUUGGACAUAUUUAUACUAAAAAUACAUUAGUUUUUUUAAAUCUGAAAUGCACAUUUAACUGGGCAUCCUGUAUUUUUAUUGGUCAAGCUGGCAGCCCUAUCUGAGGAGCCAAGCAAGCUACAGGUGCAAUACUGGUGUGAAAGGAAAAUAUCUUGGGCCCCCCAAAUCGCUAAGCUAAAAGGGAAAGUCAAGCUGGGAACUGCUUAGGGUAAACCUGCCUCACAUUCUAUUCAAAGUCACCCCUCUGCUCACACUGAGAUAAAUGCAUAUCUGAUUGCCUCCCUUGGAAAGGCUAAUUAGAAACUCAAAAGAAUGCAACCAAUUAUCUCUUAUCUACCUAUGACCUGGAAGCCCCCUCCCUGCUUCAAGUUGUCCUGCUUUUCCAAACCGAACCAAUGUUCAUCUUACAUAUGUUAAUUGAUGUCUCUUGUCUCCCUAAAAUGUAUAAAACCAAACUGUGCUCUCACCACCUUGGGCAUAUAUCAUCAGGGCCUCCUGAGGUUGUGUCAUGGCCAAAUGUCCUCAACCUUGGCAAACUAAACUUUCUAAAUUAACUGAGACCUGUCUCAGAUUUUCAGGGUUCACAUUUUGGUAACCAUGAAGGGAUUCUGAGUGGAGAUGCCCCUGACCUUUGACAAAUCUAUGCUUGGUACCAGCAUGAGCUAACUUUAUGGCUCAAACCAAUAGGACAAUUUGCUGAGGCCUGAGAGCACCCCCUCCAGAGAAUCCCUGAUGUCCCCAAAUGUGGUAGAGAUCUAAAGUUUAUUUUGCUGGAAAAAAAAAAAAAAGCAAGUAAAAUUCCAAAAAAACUUUUACUUGCUUCCAAAAAGGAAGGGAAGAUUUCCUGUUUCCAUGGCUAUGGAAGACAGGUAACUCUUUUAUGGAGUUUGAGCUCACUUCCAACAGGGAAGAUGAGUUUUUUUUCUCUCUGCUUCUAGUAUGGUAGAGAGCAGUCUACACCCUGAGACCCAUCCCUAGCUAAGUAACUGAAUUGGGGUUUGUCUUGGCUAAAGUUAAGAUUAACAACCAGCUGGUCUUAAUUUCUCCUUACUAUUAGAGUACUCAGUAAUGAUAUAAGUUGUGUGAUUGUUUUGCUUAACUGUUUUUGUUGUUGUUGUUGUUCAUUCCUGUUUUCACUGUUGUUUUGGACUUUUUCCCAUUGGGUUUGAUCAACUCUAUCCAACUUGAUCAAAUCCAAAGGAAAUUCCAAAUUAUGGGGAACAAGGCCUCUGAAGUGGCUAAAUUCUCACACACACACACACACACACACACACACUCACGCACACACGUGGUAUGGGGUGGAGGGGAAAAAAUGGCCAGAAAAAGGAAAAAAAAAAAAAACAAAAAGAAAAAUUUUUUAUUCUAAGGGUCUUCAUUUACAUAACAAGGCCACCUUUUUGUUAGCCAGGCCAAACUGAAAGAGCAAUGGCUGUACUUCUGAAAUAGCAGCAAUUUGUCCUAGCUGAAAUAUGGUAAUGAGAUUUUAAAAGUUUUUUUUUAAGGAGCUCAAUGGUUAAAAGUCAGCUUAAUUAAAACCUAACAUCCAAGAUGCGUGCGUGUGUGCGCACGCGCGCACGCAUAUGUGUGUGUUUGUAUUUAAAAGGACUUCAUGUUUUUGUUUUUCUCCUGGGACCUUGUCUUUUUUUUUUUUUUUUUUUGAGCAAAAGUUUUUUUCUUUUCAGUUGACAGAAUUCUGUUUUCUUCAUUUACUUCUACUAUCUCUCCUUUCUCUUGCACCCUCUGCUGCAUGGAGGACCUAAAAUAGUUUAUAAUAGCCUGGGGUUCCUUAAAGAAAAUGGAGAAGGCACCAGACUCCCUUUCCAGGGAAAACAAAUUUUUUCAAGAAUGUAAACAGACAAGUUUGUCUCAGUUCUCGAACAGCUUACUUUUGUAUUGUGUUACUUUUUUUUUUUUUGACUAAAAUAGUUAUUGCAACAGAGGUUACUCUUGGGUUUUUAAGGAAGAAUGUGGCUUAGACACUUAGAAAUGUCUUUAAUUUUUUUUUUUUUCUGAGUGCACUGUAAAAGCACCACGUAGCCUAAUCUCAUAUUAAUUCUCCCUUUUUGGAGACCCAGGAUUCAGUAUGGGCUCUGCCCAGAGCUCAGAGAUCCAGUUAAAAGAUAGGUAGUCAUUCCCUACCUAAAUAAAAUUAGUCUCCUUAUAGAAUCCUAUGCUAGACUUCUAUAAUUUUAUGUUUAAUUUGGCAUCCAUUUUUAAUCUCCCUCUAACACCACCAGACUUUUUCCUCUCUGUACCUUAUGAUGUAACUUUUGCUAUAUCAUUUUCACCCGAGUUGUUUCCUUUAGUAUGCAAAUUUAAGGCUAUUUAGCUGACAACUGCCUAGGGUUGUGAAACAGUUUAUCAGGAAUCUGAAAGUCUAAGGGGAAAAAAAGGUUUCUAUAAAUCUAUAAGAUGUACUUUUCUAUCAGCAUGCCCAAUAUAUCUAUGUAUUUACAUGUUGUGUACACACUGUUUCACUACUGAAAAUGUAUGAAAGAGCUCUAAUUAAUUGGCUUAAGAAACUAAAAGUGUUGGCUGGGUGCAGUGGCUCACACCUGUAAUCCCAGCACUUUGGGAAGCCCAGGUGGGUAGAUCACCUGAGGUCAGGAGCUUGAGACCCGCC